rnacentral:lncRNA from 1 species
GAAGGGGCAGCAUGGAGGCAGGAGGGCCUCCCUGCAGCUUGCUCUUCCCAUGCCAGCCCUGCUCCAUCUACUGGCAAGAAGAACGCGGAGCCUCCGAAAUUCACCCGCCGGGGUGCAGCUGCUCCUGCGGCUUCCCCAGACCAGGUUCCCCCCCAUGGCCUCCUUUCAUCUGCCAGCGAGGGCCAGGGGUGGGAAGAGCAGAGGGCGAACAUCGCUUUCUCCCUGGUCACAGGACGAGGAACUGCCCUCCCACGAGCUUCCCUCUGCUUUGGUUUCCAGCGUGUCAUCAAGGUCACAAAGGAGCACAUUAAGUAUUGUGCACACGCUGCACGUUUGCCAUUUCGUCUGCCGACUGAGAAGCUGAUUUCACUGCUUACUUGUGGUCAGUCAAACUCCAGUGAAAAUGCCCUGGAAAUUCCUUCCCAGAGCAGAAUGCUACCAGGGAUGGGGUGGGACGGCAGCACCAGCUCCUGUCCCAGCAAGUGCCCAGGAAACUAAGAUGCAGCAGCAAAAGGUGUUUAAGAGAACUUGCUGGGGAAAGCUCUGGUCUUUCCAAAAUACGGAAACCACGCAGCAAGCUUUUGCCAUGUAUGUAGCUGAAUGGUAUUGCAAACUUGCUCGGCUCUGUGCAAGGGGACAGGCUGGGGCCCCAGUGCUGUGCUGUGCAGGGGGUUUAAGAAAGCUCCCCUGUGAAAAGAAGUGGGAUUUUUAGCUCUGGCACCGUUGGCACUAAAUCGUUUUUCCUCUCGUCCUGCCUUCUGCUGUUGGGAAAUCAUCUGCACCUGGACUUUGCUUCUCUGGUCCGUAUGGGAAAAGCAUCCUGUUCUUCCUCCUGUGGUCCUUACAGAUGGCAUCUCUUCCCGCUCUGUGCUAGAGGUGAUCGGCUUGUUCUGGAAGUACAAGAUGAGAUGCAGCGCCUUGCCAUGCAGCUAAACCCUUCCCUGGGCCAGGUGGACUCCAGCGGUAGUUUGGUGGCUUGGCUGGAGCGAAGACGUCCUGCGGCCACCCACCAGCCCUGCGUGGUCUCAGCCCCACAAGCCGUGGAGCAGUGUGGGUCCUCUGCACUUCUGGCAGGACUCCUUGUGUGCCUCCCCAUCACGUCCUGGGCUCUGGGAAGUCUUCUUGAUGUGGGAACAUUGCUAUACAACUGCACAGAGCCAACUGUGUGGUGCUGUGUGGAAGCUAAGAGGUCUUCCUGGGUACCACCUGUCUGUGUGGUACAACCUCCUGCACCGCUCCUGUAUUAUUAUUUUCCAUUAUCUAGGAAAACAACCUUUUCUUCUCCUCCUCUUUACCUCAGAUAAUGGAAAGCUGUUUGUAUAUCCAUGAGCUUAAUAACUACUGGUCUUGGAAGAGCUUUUCUGGCUGGUUGUACAUUAACAUUAUUCACAUUUUUGAUGCAUGUGCAAUUAAUAAAACUUGGGCAAAACUUUAAAGCUUGGACUAU